UACAGAACGCCCGGGCUUCGGCCUGGUUAUCAUAACCCUUUGUUGUCCGACUCUGUUGCCUCCGGGGCGACCCUGCCUUCGGGCGGGGGCUCCGGGUGGACACUUCAAACUCUUGCGUAACUUUGCAGUCUGAGUAAACUUAAUUAAUAAAUUAAAACUUUUAACAACGGAUCUCUUGGUUCUGGCAUCGAUGAAGAACGCAGCGAAAUGCGAUAAGUAAUGUGAAUUGCAGAAUUCAGUGAAUCAUCGAAUCUUUGAACGCACAUUGCGCCCCCUGGUAUUCCGGGGGGCAUGCCUGUUCGAGCGUCAUUUCACCACUCAAGCCUCGCUUGGUAUUGGGCAACGCGGUCCGCCGCGUGCCUCAAAUCGUCCGGCUGGGUCUUCUGUCCCCUAAGCGUUGUGGAAACUAUUCACUAAAGGGUGUUCGGGAGGCUACGCCGUACAACAACCCCAUUUCUAAGGUUGACCUCGGAUCAGGUAGGGAUACCCGCUGAACUUAAGCAUAUCAAAGCCGGGACGAAAUGAAAAUUUGACCUCGGAUCAGGUAGGAAUACCCGCUGAACUUAAGCAUAUCAAAU
rnacentral:rRNA from 1 species